UUUGCUUUUUUUUUUUUUAAGAUAUCAAAUAAGUAAGAAACUGUAAAACAGUGGUGGAAAGAAAUAGGCUGGGUGACAUUUCCCAAUCAUCCAGAAAUUACUAAAGAAGAGGAGAAUAUUUAUCAGUUUUAUUCUUUAUGGCUGGAAAGUUUGGCUAUCCAAAUCUAAACAAAACCAAUCUGUUUCACAAUGAGUUAAAAAGAAUCAAACCUUACACAUAGGCCGGUAUAUGGUUCCGAAUAUUAGAUGCCGUAGUAAGGAUGCAAAUGUAGUGGAUGCACAUAUUUAAAAGCUAGCUUAUGCAACUGCACAACACCAGCAGUAUUUUUUAACAUUAUGCGGGUCAACUGCAUACGUGAACUGCACUUCACAAAGGAACAAAGACAUACUGGGUUUAUGUGGCAAGAUUUGGGGGGUGGGAGGACGGGCUGCAAGGGUGACUUCUGUGAGAAGAUGCGAUAAGCUUCCCCUGUGUCCAAUACCAAUGGUCAAUGCCAGCUGGCUCCGAGAUGGACCAGCUGCUGGCCAAGGCCAACCCUAUCAGUGACAGUGGUCAUGCCUCUGGGAUAACAUAGUUAAGAAGGAGGGAAAAAAAGAAAGAUUGGGCAAGACCAAUUGCAAUCAGAGAGAGGAGUGAGAAUGCGUGAGACAUACAACCCUGCAGACACCAAGGCGAGUGAAGAAAGCGGGGAGGAAGCACCAGAGCAGAAAUUCCCUGAAGCCUGUGGGCAAAGACCAUGGAGAGUCAGGCUGUCCCCCUGCAGCUCAUGGAGGUUAAUUGUGGAGUGGGUAUCCACCUGCAGCCUGGGGAGGUUACAAGGGAGAUGAUAUCCACCUGCAGCCCAUGGAGGACCCCAUGCCAGAGCAGGCUGGUGCCCAAAGGAGGCUAUGACCCAGUGGGAAGCCUGUUUUGGAGGAAGCUCCUGGAUUAUCCUUGUCCUGUGGCCCUGCGGGCAAAGGAGCCCAUACUGGAGCAGGCUUGCUGGCAGGAGCUGUGACCCCACACGGAAACCAUGCUGGAGCAGUCUGUUACUCAAGGGCUGCACCCUGUGGAAGGGACCCACACUGGAACAGAUCAUGAAGAACUGCAGCACAUGGGCAGGACCCCUGUGGGAGAAGUUCCUGGAAGACUGUCUGCUGUGGGUGUCAUCCCAUUCUGGAGCAGGGGAAGAGCAUGAGAAGAAAGGAACAGCAGACAGAAUGUGUGUUGAACACAACCCCCAUUCCUUGUCCCCCUGUGCCAUUUUGGGGGAAGAAAUGGAGAAUUUGGGAACAAAGUUCAGCCUGGGAAGAAGGGAGGGGUGUGGGGAUGGUGUUUUUAAGAUCUGUUUUUAUUUCUCAUUCUCCUCCUCUGACUUGAUCAGUAAUAAGUUAAAUUCAUUUCCCCAA